rnacentral:rRNA from 1 species
AUUGAACGCUGGCGGCAGGCUUAACACAUGCAAGUCGAGCGAGCGGCGGACGGGUGAGUAAUGUCUGGGAAACUGCCUGAUGGAGGGGGAUAACUACUGGAAACGGUGGCUAAUACCGCAUACCAUCAGAUGAACCCAUAUGGGAUUAGCUAGUAGGUGGGGUAAUGGCGCACCUAGGCGACGAUCCCUAGCUGGUCUGAGAGGAUGACCAGACACACUGGGACUGAGACACGGUCCAGACUCCUACGGGAGGCAGCAGUGGGGAAUAUUGCACAAUGGGCGCAAGCCUGAUGCAGCCAUGCCGCGUGUGUGAAGAAGGCCUUCGGGUUGUAAAGCACUUUCAGCGAGGAGGCGUUACUCGCAGAAGAAGCACCGGCUAACUACGUGCCAGCAGCCGCGGUAAUUC